UCCGUAGGGGGCAAGCGUUGUCCGGAAUCAUUGGGCGUAAAGCGCGCGUAGGCGGCCCGGUAAGUCCGUUGUGAAAGUCAAAGGCUCAACCUUUGAACGCCGAUGGAUACUGCCGGGCUAGAGUCCGGAAGAGGCGAGUGGAAUUCCUGGUGUAGCGGUGGAAUGCGCAGAUAUCGGGAGGAACACCAAUAGCGAAGGCAGCUCGCUGGGACGGUACUGACGCUGAGGCGCGAAAGCGUGGGGAGCGAACAGG
rnacentral:rRNA from 1 species